rnacentral:rRNA from 1 species
AGUCGAGCGCCCCGCAGGGGAGCGGCAGACGGGUGAGUAACGCGUGGGAAUCUACCCUUGACUACGGAAUAACGCAGGGAAACUUGUGCUAAUACCGUAUGUGUCCUUCGGGAGAAAGAUUUAUCGGUCAAGGAUGAGCCCGCGUUGGAUUAGCUAGUUGGUGGGGUAAAGGCCUACCAAGGCGACGAUCCAUAGCUGGUCUGAGAGGAUGAUCAGCCACAUUGGGACUGAGACACGGCCCAAACUCCUACGGGAGGCAGCAGUGGGGAAUAUUGGACAAUGGGCGCAAGCCUGAUCCAGCCAUGCCGCGUGAGUGAUGAAGGCCCUAGGGUUGUAAAGCUCUUUCACCGGAGAAGAUAAUGACGGUAUCCGGAGAAGAAGCCCCGGCUAACUUCGUGCCAGCAGCCGCGGUAAUACUAAGGGGGCUAGCGUUGUUCGGAAUUACUGGGCGUAAAGCGCACUUA